AUAUCUGUGAUUAUUGUUAUCAGGAGUAACACACAGAAAACUUGGGAAACUGAACAAAAUGAGUGAACACUCUACAUUGUCAUAUUCAUCAAACUGAGGUCC
rfam:Ictidomys tridecemlineatus contig074218, whole genome shotgun sequence.